GCCGGCGUGGCGGAAUGGCAGACGCCGUGGACUUAAAAUCCACUGGGGGGCAACUCCCGUGCGGGUUCGAAUCCCGCCGCCGGCA
rnacentral:tRNA from 1 species